CCUACGGGUGGCAGCAGUGGGGAAUAUUGCACAAUGGGGGAAACCCUGAUCCAGCAACGCCGCGUGAGUGAAGAAGUAUUUCGGUAUGUUAAGCUCCAUCAGCAGGGAAGAAGAUGACGGUACCUGACCAAGAAGCCCCGGCUAACUACGAGCCAGCAGCCGCGGUAAUACGUAGGGGGCAGGCGUUAUCCUGAUUUACUGGGUGUUAAGGGAGCGUAGUCGGGAGUGCAAGUCUGGAGUGAAAGCCCGGGGCCCAACCCCGGAACUGCUCUGGAAACUGUGCGGCUAGAGUACUGGAGGGGCAGGCGGAAUUCCUAGUGUAGCGGUGAAAUGCGUAGAUAUUAGGAGGAACACCAGUGGCGAAGGCGGCCUGCUGGACAGUAACUGACGUUGAGGCUCGAAAGCGUGGGGAGCAAACAGGAUUAGAUACCCGAGUAGUC
rnacentral:rRNA from 1 species